rnacentral:rRNA from 1 species
AUUGAACGCCGGCGGCAGGCUUAACACAUGCAAGUCGAGCGGGGAAGGGUAGCUUGCUGCCUAACCUAGCGGCGGACGGGUGAGUAAUGCUUAGGAAUCUGCCAUUUAGUGGGGGACAACAUUCCGAAAGGAAUGCUAAUACCGCAUACGUCCUACGGGGGAAAGCAGGGGAUCUUUGGACCUUGCGCUAAAUGAUGAGCCUAAGUCGGAUUAGCUAGUUGGUGGGGUAAAGGCCUACCAAGGCGACGAUCUGUAGCGGGUCUGAGAGGAUGAUCCGCCACACUGGGACGGGGACACGGCCCAGACUCCUACGGGAGGCAGCAGUGGGGAAUAUUGGACAAUGGGCGGAAGCCUGAUCCAGCCAUGCCGCGUGUGUGAAGAAGGCCUUUUGGUUGUAAAGCACUUUAAGCGGGGAGGAGGCUACUUAGAUUAAUACUCUAGGAUAGUGGACGUUACUCGCAGAAUAAGCACCGGCUAACUCUGUGCCAGCAGCCGCCGUAAAAC